GAUGAACGCUGGCGGCGGGCCUAAUACAUGCAAGUCGAGCGAACAGACGAUUAGCUUGCUCCUCUGACGUUAGCGGCGGGCGGGUGGGUAACACGUGCAUAACCUUCCUAUAUUACUGGGAUGACUUCGUGAAACCGGAUCUACUACCAGAUAAUAUGUUGUACCGCAUGGAUCAAUAGUGAUUGGCGGUUUUGCUGUCUGUUAUAGAUGUAGCCGUGCUGCAUUAGCUAGUUGGUAAGGUAACGGCUUACCAAGGCAACGAUGCGUAGCCGACCUGAGAGGGUGAUCGGCCACACUGGAACUGAGACACGGUCCAGACUCCUACGGGAGGCAGCAGUGGGGAAUAUUCCGCAAUGGGCGAAAGCCUGACGGAGCAAUGCCGCGUGAGUGAUGAAGGUCUUCGGAUUGUAAAACUCUGUUAUUAGGGAAGAAAAAAAGUAUAAGUAACUACGCCCGUUCUGACGGUACCUAAUGAGAAAGCAACGGCUAACUACGUG
rnacentral:rRNA from 1 species